GGAGGAAAAGAAACCAACAGGGAUUGCCCUAGUAACGGCGAGUGAAGCGGCAACAGCUCAAAUUUGAAAGCUGGCUCCGGCCCGCAUUGUAAUUUGCAGAGGAUGCUUUUGGCGAGGUGCCUUCCGAGUUCCCUGGAACGGGACGCCAUAGAGGGUGAGAGCCCCGUAUGGAUGGACACCAAACCUGUGUAAAGCUCCUUCAACGAGUCGAGUAGUUUGGGAAUGCUGCUCUAAAUGGGAGGUAAAUCUCUUCUAAAGCUAAAUACCGGCCAGAGACCGAUAGCGCACAAGUAGAGUGAUCGAAAGAUGAAAAGCACCUUGAAAAGGGGGUUAAACAGUACGUGAAAUUGUUGAAAGGGAAGCGCUUGUGACCAGACUUGCGCCGGGCAGCUCAUCAGGGGUUCUCCCCUGUGCACUCUGCCCGGCUCAGGCCAGCAUCGGUUCUCGUGGGAGGAUAAGAACAGUGGGAACGUGGCCCCCUCUCGGGGGGGUGUUAUAGCCCAUUGUACGAUACUCUCGUGGGGACCGAGGUUCGCGCUCCGCAAGGAUGCUGGCGUAAUGGUCAUCAGCGACCCGUCU
rnacentral:rRNA from 1 species